UAAAGCGUGCGCAGGCGGUUUGUAAGUCUGUCGUGAAAGCCCCGGGCUCAACCUGGGAAUUGCGAUGGAGACUGCAAGGCUUGAAUCUGGCAGAGGGGGGUAGAAUUCCACGUGUAGCAGUGAAAUGCGUAGAGAUGUGGAGGAACACCGAUGGCGAAGGCAGCCCCCUGGGUCAAGAUUGACGCUCAUGCACGAAAGCGUGGGGAGCAAACAGGAUUAGAUACCCCUGU
rnacentral:rRNA from 1 species